rnacentral:rRNA from 1 species
AGACGGCGGGUGCGAAUAUCCGUCGUCGAGAGGGAAACAACCCAGACCGCCAGCUAAGGCCCCCAAGUCAUCGCUCAGUGGGAAAGGUUGUGGCGCCGCCCAGACAACCAGGAGGUUGGCUUAGAAGCAGCCACCCUUGAAAGAGUGCGUAACAGCUCACUGGUCGAGUGCCGCUGCGCCGAUAAUCCAUCGGGGCAAAGUCAGGUGCCGAAGCGCCGGGUGGCUCGGGAAACCGAGCCGCGGUAGGGGAGCGUCGUGGUUGCUGGUGAAGCACGACCGUAAGGCCGUGUGGAGGCCCCACGAGUGCGAAUGCCGGAACGAGUAACAGAGAAGUGGGGUGCGAACCCCCACCACCGCAAGCCCAAGGGUUCCGCCGCACGGGUGAUCCGCGGCGGGUUAGUCGGGCCUAAGGCUGCCCCUGACAGGCGCAGACCGAUGGACAACAGGUCGAUAUUCCUGUACUACUGGGUGGUCGUUAUCACGGACGCUGGACCCUGAGGGGUACACACCGCGACGAGACGUGCGUCGUCCAAGCCGGUAGGGAGCGAGGAGUCCAAAUCCUCCUUGCGUUGACCGAGAGGCGAGUGCGAGGGUGUCUGGCAACAGCCGCCCAAGGGUGUGACGCCUGUGCAGGCGAGAAAUGCCAGCUACGGAGACCACUAGUACCCGUACCGCAAUCCGACACAGGUGGGCUGGUCGAGUAGACCAAGGUGGACGAGUGAUCCCUGGUUAAGGAACUCGGCAAUUUACGUCCGUACCUUUGGUAGAAGGACGACUGCUGACCGUGAGGCCCCUCGCGGGUGGAGCGGCUGGCAGUGACACAAACCAGGCCCAGGCGACUGGAUACCAGAACCACAGGUCCGUGCUCAAGCCGUAAGGCGCAGUAUACGGGCUGAUGCCUGCCCAGUGCCGGAAGGUUAAGGGGAGGGGUUUGCGCUCCGAACCGAAGCCCCGGUGAACGGCGGCUGUAACUAUAACAGUCCUAAGGUAGCGAAAUUCCUUGUCGGGUAAGUUCCGACCCGCACGAAAGGCAUCACGAUCUGGGCACUGUCUCAA